rnacentral:rRNA from 1 species
UAGUCCACGCCGUAAACGAUGGAUACUAGCUGUUGGGUUUCGGCUCAGUGGCUAAGCGAAAGUGAUAAGUAUCCCACCUGGGGAGUACGUUCGCAAGAAUGAAACUCAGAGGAAUUGACGGGGGCCCGCACAAGCGGUGGAGCAUGUGGUUUAAUUCGAUGAUACGCGAGGAACCUUACCAGGGCUUAAAUGUAAGUUGCAUGAUCUAGAGAUAGGUCUUUCUUCGGACCACUUACAAGGUGCUGCAUGGUUGUCGUCAGCUCGUGCCGUGAGGUGUCAGGUUAAGUCCUAUAACGAGCGCAACACCUAUUUUUAGUUGCCAGCACAUAAUGGUGGGGACUCUAGAAAGACUGCCGGCGUAAGCCGCGAGGAAGGUGGGGAUGACGUCAAAUCAUCAUGGCCUUUAUGCCCAGGGCUACACACGUGCUACAAUGGACAGGACAAAGGGUCNCCAAACCGCGAGGUGGAGCUAAUCCCAGAAACCUGUUCUCAGUUCGGAUUGAAGU